GAUGAACGCUGGCGGCGUGCCUAAUACAUGCAAGUCGAGCGAACAGACGAGGAGCUUGCUCCUCUGACGUUAGCGGCGGACGGGUGAGUAACACGUGGAUAACCUACCUAUAAGACUGGGAUAACUUCGGGAAACCGGAGCUAAUACCGGAUAACAUGUUGAACCGCAUGGUUCAACAGUGAAAGACGGUCUUGCUGUCACUUAUAGAUGGAUCCGCGCCGCAUUAGCUAGUUGGUAAGGUAACGGCUUACCAAGGCAACGAUGCGUAGCCGACCUGAGAGGGUGAUCGGCCACACUGGAACUGAGACACGGUCCAGACUCCUACGGGAGGCAGCAGUAGGGAAUCUUCCGCAAUGGGCGGAAGCCUGACGGAGCAACGCCGCGUGAGUGAAGAAGGGCUUCGGAUCGUAAAACUCUGUUAUUAGGGAAGAACAAAUGUGUAAGUAACUAUGCACGUCUUGACGGUACCUAAUCAGAAAGCCACGGCUAACUACGUG
rnacentral:rRNA from 1 species